GACGAACGCUGGCGGCGUGCCUAAUACAUGCAAGUCGAGCGGACCUCUUCGGAGGUCAGCGGCGGACGGGUGAGUAACACGUGGGCAACCUGCCUGUAAGACUGGGAUAACACCGGGAAACCGGUGCUAAUACCGGAUAAUCCUUUUCCUCACAUGAGGGGAAGCUGAAAGACGGUUUCGGCUGUCACUUACAGAUGGGCCCGCGGCGCAUUAGCUAGGGGGUGGGGUAACGGCCCACCAAGGCGACGAUGCGUAGCCGACCUGAGAGGGUGGUCGGCCACACUGGGACUGAGACACGGCCCAGACUCCUACGGGAGGCAGCAGUAGGGAAUCUUCCGCAAUGGACGAAAGUCUGAUGGAGCAACGCCGCGUGAGCAAAGAAGGCCUUCGGGUCGUAAAGCUCUGUUGUCAGGGAAGAACACGUACCGGAGUAACUGCCGGUACCUUGACGGUACCUGACCAGAAAGCCACGGCUAACUACGUGCCAGCAGCCGCGGUAAAAC
rnacentral:rRNA from 1 species